ensembl:lncRNA
GUGUCUUGAAACCUAAGGGAGUUUUUAGCAUCUCAGAGGAAAAUUCUCCCUCAGUCCUCUGGGUGGCGCCCGACAUCAUGAAAAGCGUUGUGCUUGCUCUGCUGCCUCUGACCUCCUCAUGACUGCCUGGCUUUCCUCACUGUCCUAGGAAGCAAAGAGAGAGCCUGUCCCUGAGACAAGGACCUCCCUGAUCAGGGACCACUCCCUCCCUCUGCACUUGCCUGAUGGCCUGAGCACCUCCUACCUCACUGGUUCCCUGCAUGAAUUCCUGUUUUACCUCACCUGGCUACCCUAAUGGUGUCAGUGAGCCGAAUGACCUCAUGCCCCAAGGUUCCCAGAGAAAGAGGGAAAUUGCUGCCACAGCCUGCCCUGUUGGGCCACUGAGAGACAUUGGAGCAGCUUCCAUAGGCUCACUCCAUCUCGUCGCUCUUGGGCCUUGGACUUGGCACUCCCAAGAUGAUAAAGACAAAUCCAGAUAAAGAAAAACCUUUAAAGGUUUACACUGCAUUUAAAAAUAUAUGUAGGCUUGUGAGAGAAAAAAUAACAGGAGUUAAUAGAGUAGCCGGUUGUGGUGGCACACGCCGGUAGGAUUUGCUGAAGGAAGCAGAGGCAGGCGGAUUUCCACAGAGAAACCCUGUCUCGGGAAAAAAGAAACAAAAGAAAGUAAAAAUAAAGUAAUAAAAAAGCCACAUAAAGAUGGAAAAUACACAGAGAAUCUGGAUAUUCUAUGCCAUAUUGUUGUCUUUAAAUUGUUUGAUUGCCGAGGAAAGACUUACUGCUGCUAAAAUACAUUUGAUUAUAAAUGCUGCUAAAUUAAUCCAACUUAUACAUUUUAAAAAUGCUUUGACUUCAAAAUUUAAGUCUAAGGACAGGCUACUUGGAAAAAGAAUUUCUAUUUGUGUUUCCACAGAAAAUAAAAGGCUAUGGAUUCUUUCCAGACAAAUAUGGUUUGAUCAAGCAAGACCCCCUGAAGCUGAGACGAUACAGCCUUACAGACUACAAAAACAAGGACUUGGUCAGGUUUCUAUGUUUUAUCAUGAUCCAUAUGGCAUGAACAUCACCCCCACUCAGCAGGAAGCAGUUUAGAAAGAACGACACCCAAAUCCCCAAAUAUUGUUUAUAAAUACUUGUGUUCAUUUAAAUGGGGUUGUUUAUAAAUAGUAAUGAGCAUAGUCAACCUCUUUUUAAAGGAAAAAAAGGGAAUAGGAUAUAGGAAUUAACACUUUGCAUUGGUAUGGAUUUUCAUUUAUUGAUACAAAUUUAAGGUCAAUUUUGUGACAUGUAUAUGUCUCCUCUUGUUUAGGUAUUAUGUUUAAAUAAGGUUGUAUAAUCACCCACGAUAGUCAGAACUUAUAAUUAGGUUAGUUAGGUUUUCUAGAUUUACAGAGAUGUAUUUGAGAUGGUUAGGUAUUCUUCAAACCUUUCAAAGACCUACAGAAAUAUGGCAUUUAAAUGGUUUAGGAUUUUUCUUGGCAGUGAGACUCAACUGCUCCUGGCACACCAAUUAUGUCAGAAAGGAGGAUGGGCAUCGAAGAAACUUGUUAUGGAGUUUGCUUUCAACAUGGCAAGAUUAGCCAUUUGGGCAAGAAACUGCUCUUGCCUGGAAUGCUUGUUGCUGUAUAAACUGGACAUGCAGGACCCACAAGAAAAUGACUGUUGAACUUACAAAACAAGACAGUACUGAAGGGUUCCUGUUAAAAUGGAGAAGUGUGCCAGACACACUGUGGCCUAUGGGCUGAAGAUGGAUGCCCCAACAUUACAGAGGAACUUUGGGUGACUGUCCAGGUAGCGAGAUGUCCUGUCAAUUCUUGAGUUUAUAUAUUAUCCUUCUGUGGUCUUUGAUAGAGUUGAAGACAUAUAGUUAUGGUUAUAGUUUUCUUCAGUUAUUAUAAAAGAUAAGUUAUCCUUCUUUUUAUUUAGACAGAAAAGAGGAGAUGAUGGGGAAUGUACUGUGUAUGUUCAUCUUAUUGAUUAUUGAAUAAAGUACUUGUUUGGCCAAUGAGACAGCAAGUUAGACGGGACUAGGAGUCAAAGAGGAUUCUGGGAAAUGUAGUAGAGAAGUGGUGAUCCAGGCAGGAAGUAACACAGCAAGGAGACUCAUAUUUAAGCAAGGAGAAACAGGAAGUGUCCUUUUUCCCCUUCCUCCUCCAGUGGCACAAUGUGAGCCACCGGCAAGAGAGGGUGCCAGUGAAAGGCAUCCUCUAUAAGAUAAGUCUUAUAAAAUAUAUAGAUUUAUGAUAAUUAAGACUGAGCUAACAGAUAAGAAUCCUAGUCAUUGGCCAAGCUUUGUACCUAAUACAAGUCUCUCUGUGUAUUAAUUUGGGCCCUAACUUGGGCGGGCGGUUGGCGUAAAGUGCACACGUGGCGGUGGGGUUUGGCGGCUUUUGGGGGCUUUUGGCGGAAAGAUUUAUCGUAACAUACCCUUUUUCUAACCCUUCUAAUGUCCCCACACUCUGAAGUUGAUAGCCUCUUUUUCUUUAUUAUUGUCACAUGCAUAUAUAUGUAUGUAGGUGCAUGUCUGUUUUUUUGUUUAUUUGUGUGUACUGUUUCAGAGCUGACCAUUUUACAUUGAACAACCAAUAAGGGGUUCAUCCAUAGAAGAGGCUAAUUUUUCUCCCAGCAGUCAUUACUUGCCUGUAGUUCUUUUCCUAGGGGUGGGACCCUGUGAACAUUCCCCAUUCCAUUUAACAUGUCCACUGAUAUAGCCAUUGCUCUGGUCUUGUUUAUGAAGCCAUCUCUAGGAGAGACUUCCUGGUAUUAUGGAUCUUAUAAUCUCCCCCCCCCUCCCUGAUGAUCCCUGAGCUAUAGACUCAGGAACUGUGAUGUAGAUGUCUCCACUGGGACCAGGAUCCCCACAAUUGGUUGAUCUCUGCAUUGUGUCUUCUUUGAUAAAAGGUGGUGGCGACACUUACCCAGGAAAGGUGACUUGAGAACCAGGGGUCUUUUUAAAGCUUCAUAUUCCUUAGCAACCAUUAAGAAAACAAAUAAUGCAGGGCAUGGUGGCAGAGGCAGGAGGAUCUCUGUGAACUCAAGACCAGCCUGGUCUACAUAGAGAGUUCCAGAACAGCCAGGACUGCAUAGUGAGACCCAAACUCAAAAGCAAAACAGCAACAAACAAAUAACAAUAGAUGCUGGCAAGGGUGUGGACAAAAGGGAGUGCCAGCCUCUGUGGGAAGUCAGUAUGGACAUUUCUCAAAAACCCAGCAAUAGAGGCUGGAGACCUGGCUCAGAGACUAGGAGUGCUUGCUGCUUUUGCAGGAGAGCAGUUUUUUGUUUGUUUUUUUGUUUUGUUUUGUUUUUGUAGCUACAGAGUGAGGCUUUAAUAAACUCUAAACUUUAGAGAAAGAGAGGAUGGGUCACAAAGUAAAUUCCACUGAAGGGGGAUUCUAUAAGCUCCAAGUGGAAGUUGAGAAGCCAAACAGAAGCCAAGGCUUGCACCAAGAAGUUGUGAAACUUGCAGGAUGGAACUGAGAAAGAGGAAGGACAAGGUCACAGAGACCCAAAAGUGCUUAAGGAAGCCAUGACAGUUAGCAGGAAGCCCCUUUUGGUAAGCAAGGAAAAUCACAAAAUAUGUGCCCAGGAGGCACUAGGAAUGAUAGAACAGGUAGCUUCUUGCACUUUCAUAAGUAUGUUCUUCUUUAAGUUGAGAAAGUUUUCUUCUAUGAUUUUGUUUAUAUUUUCUGUUCCUUUGAGCUGUAUUUCUUCUCAUUUUUCUCUCCCUGUUAUUUGUAGGUUUGUUCUUUUCUGGAUGUCCCAGAUUGUCUGGAUAUUUUGUGUUAAGAAUUUGUUGGAUUUAAUGUUCUCUUCCAGAAGAAUCGACUUCCUAUAUGGUAUCUUCAAUAGCUUUGAUUCUCUGUUCCAGCUCUUGUAUUUUGUUGGUUAUGCUUAAAAUCUGUAGCUCCUCAUCAUUUAGCCAGAUUUUCCAUUUCCAUAAUUCUCUCAGUUUGUAUUUUUCUUUAUUGCCUCAUUAUAGUUUUCACGUCUUAAACCAUUUCCUUUAC